UGAUGAGAGAAAAUAAGAAAAUAAGAAAAUAAGAAAAGUGAAAGAAUAGAGAAAACAAAUGAAUCCAUACACAUAACACCAAGACUACACAAAUCUACAGCAUUAAUGGGUAUCUUUGAAGCAAAAUUUUGCAUAUCGAAACUGCAAAAAACUUGUGGAUCUAUGAACCCUGUUAGGGUGAGUCGGCAGACCAUGGGGGAGAGUAGAGGGACAUUAAAAAGAUGAAAGAGGAAGACAAGUAAGAAACGAAUGGGCAGAGGGGAGAGAGAAAAGUGUGCAACGUGGAACAAUAUCAUCCACACCUAACAAAACUUGAUUUUACACAAACACCCUCAAACUAAGUCAAAAGGACCCACUCAUAAUAAUGAAGCAAUAAAGCAAACAUAAGGGCAGAACAGACCUUUUAUAGAGGACGAAAAAUUUACUGUUCAUUUACAUCGGUGCGUUAUGUCUAUAGUAUGAUACUGCAUAAAAAAUAAAAUUUAACUUUAAAAUAUAUAUGAAAAUGAUUCGUGCCUGAAGGCACUUCCAAACACAAUCUUACCCAACUAAAAUGGAGUAUAUUCCUAAUUUAACAACAUUUCAUGUCCACCGAAUCCACUCAAGAUACCACAGGGAUUGAUUCAGUGGUAAGAUGUUCGGAUUUCUCGCUCAAAGUCUGGGUUCAAAUCUCCAUAACACCUUAUUGGGAUUAAACAUACUUUUUAGUGCCCAUAGCAAGCGGGGGCCUUAGCUUUAGCUUCGGGCCCGACGUAGGUGCAGUGGGAUUCCCUGUAGAUACGCUGUGUGUGCUAAGGGACAACACUCCCCGGUGGGUAUGUGGAGUAACCUAUCUACAUAUCUAUUUUCCCCUUCUGUUGUACCCAAAAAAAAGAAUUCACUCAAGAUGUGGACCUCAUGCCUCAAGCAAACUAUUUUGAAGAACUUUAACCAUCAAGAUAUAAACUCACUAAAGUAAAUUAAAUCAAUUCAUAUAAUCCAAAACAACAAAUAAACAAUAUUUUUUAAUCAACCUUGUGAGAAGAAAAAAAUUAAUUAUGAGGAAUGAAAGUAAAAGCAAUGUAAGUAUCAAAAUCAAAGUGAUUUGGUAGAACAAUUCUUAACCACAUACAUCCAAAAAACAAAACUUAAUACUAUCUCAAUGAAUUCUUUAUAGUGUUUAUUACAUGCCAAACAAUUAAUAUUUACAUUUAAGUAAGCACUAUGAAAAAUAAGAAAAUAAUGGCACAAUAAUUGUUAAACUAGAAAUUUUGGACUUGAUCACAGAUGGGAACAUCAAUGGAUACACCAUUCACCCAUUGAAUCUCUUUUCUACAAUAAACAAACAACAAAACAAAGAAGAAGAAACUAAACACGGACUGAAAACCAAAUGCCAACAGGAAAGUUGAAUGCAAUACCUCUUCUCAACCUGAGCUCUGACACUUUCAGUUUAAAAAAAAAAAAAAAAA